GUCAUAAAUAAAAUUGAUCAGCCCACUGCUGAUCCAGAUCGGGUAAAAACACAGCUCAAAUCUAUGUUUGACCUUAAUCCAAGCGAUGUACUAUUGACAUCAGCAAAAACGGGUCUAGGUCUAGAGCAUGUUCUUCCUGCUGCAAUAGAGAGAAUUCCUCCACCCCCUGGUAAAAACACUUCACCUUUGCGAAUGCUUUUGCUGGAUUCAUAUUAUGAUGAGUACAAA
rnacentral:misc_RNA from 1 species